GGAGGCAGCUCGCUAACCCAAGGGAGGCCUCCCUUCUGCGGGGAGGGAUGGGAAGACUGGAGUGUGGGCCCCUGCUCAGGGCCCGGGUCGGGAGGCAGGCAGCCCAAGUCCACUUUGCCCAGAGGUGCAGCCCUGCAGGGCAGUCAGCAGCCUUGUCUGUCCUGCGAUGCCUGUCUCCGGCAUGCUCUGCUCCCAGCACCAUCCGUCCCACACCUGGAGGGGACACUUCCCCUGAGGAAUUCUGUGCCACCCCGUGCUCCCGUCGGCGUGGAGAGCUGAGAAGUCCACACGUGCAUGGACACUCACCUGUAUAUCCUAUUACUGUGAGCCUCCGGCUAAGAGGAUUUUGAGCUUGAGCGUUAAUCCUUUUUACUAAUUUAUAGCAAUCCUGUAGCAGCUUCUAGAGCGCGUCGGUGGACGUGGAAUGAAGUGAUUUCCAGUGUUAACCUUCCAUCAGCGUCCAUGUGUCCUUUCCUGGUGGAGUCUCCACUUAGACCCUCCUAACUCCGCCUGGAGAAAAACCGCACCCUCGUCCCCAGGACGGUCCCCUCUGCGAGCCGAGGGCACCUGUCCGGCAGAAGUCAAGUCACCCCACGAGCAGCUCCCUGACGGGGCUGCUUUUUUCACUGCUCAGAUGAGAGGGUGACGUUUGUAGGGAGACGCACAGACAGCUGCCAGACACUUGUGGCGGGCUCAGCGGCCGCAGGCAGAUUUGCAGUGGAGUGAAUGUGUUGACUCAACGAGCCUUGAAGUUUGCUGUAAGGACAGCCAACCAACGCCAAGAAGGAGGCUUUAAAAUUAUUUGGCAUAUAAAUUUUUAACAGACUAAA